GAACGCCUUCUUUUCCUCCCGAAGUGCUUGCACUCAAUUGGAAAGAGGAGUGGCGGAACGGGUGAAGUAACACGUGGGUAACCUACCCAUCAGAGGGGGAUAACACUUGGAAACAGGUGCUAAUACCGCAUAACAGUUUAUGCCGCAUGGCAUAAGAGUGAAAGGCGCUUUCGGGUGUCGCUGAUGGAUGGACCCGCGGUGCAUUAGCUAGUUGGUGAGGUAACGGCUCACCAAGGCCACGAUGCAUAGCCGACCUGAGAGGGUGAUCGGCCACACUGGGACUGAGACACGGCCCAGACUCCUACGGGAGGCAGCAGUAGGGAAUCUUCGGCAAUGGACGAAAGUCUGACCGAGCAACGCCGCGUGAGUGAAGAAGGUUUUCGGAUCGUAAAACUCUGUUGUUAGAGAAGAACAAGGACGUUAGUAACUGAACGUCCCCUGACGGUAUCUAACCAGAAAGCCACGGCUAACUACGUGCCAGCAGCCGCGGUAAUACGUAGGUGGCAAGCGUUGUCCGGAUUUAUUGGGCGUAAAGCGAGCGCAGGCGGUUUCUUAAGUCUGAUGUGAAAGCCCCCGGCUCAACCGGGGAGGGUCAUUGGAAACUGGGAGACUUGAGUGCAGAAGAGGAGAGUGGAAUUCCAUGUGUAGCGGUGAAAUGCGUAGAUAUAUGGAGGAACACCAGUGGCGAAGGCGGCUCUCUGGUCUGUAACUGACGCUGAGGCUCGAAAGCGUGGGGAGCAAACAGGAUUAGAUACCCUGGUAGUCCACGCCGUAAACGAUGAGUGCUAAGUGUUGGAGGGUUUCCGCCCUUCAGUGCUGCAGCAAACGCAUUAAGCACUCCGCCUGGGGAGUACGACCGCAAGGUUGAAACUCAAAGGAAUUGACGGGGGCCCGCACAAGCGGUGG
rnacentral:rRNA from 1 species